AGUGUAGUAAGGUUGUAAUGUUCAACCAUGUGAUACAGAGUAUGUGUGUGUGUUGUGUUGUGCACGUGGAAGUCGAUGUAUAUGAGGUUAUUUAGAGGUGGGUAUUAGUGUAGUAAGGUUGUAAUGUUCAACCAUGUGAUACAGAGUAUGUGUGUUUGUUGUGUUGUGCACGUGGAAGUCACUGUAUAUGAGGUUAUUUAGAGGUGGGUAUUGGUGUAGUAAGGUUGUAAUGUUCAACCAUGUGAUACAGAGUAUGUGUGUUUGUUGUGUUGUGCACGUGGAAGUCACUGUAUAUGAGGUUAUUUAGAGGUGGGUAUUGGUGUAGUAAGGUUGUAAUGUUCAACCAUGUGAUACAGAGUAUGUGUGUGUGUUGUGUUGUGCACAUGGAAGUCACUGUAUAUGAGGUUAUUUAGAGGUGGGUAUUGGUGUAGUAAGGUUGUAAUGUUCAACCAUGUGAUACAGAGUAUGUGUGUGUGUUGUGUUGUGCACGUGGAAGUCACUGUAUAUGAGGUUAUUUAGAGGUGGGUAUUGGUGUAGUAAGGUUGUAAUGUUCAACCAUGUGAUACAGAGUAUGUGUGUUUGUUGUGUUGUGCACGUGGAAGUCAAUGUAUAUGAGGUUAUUUAGAGGUGGGUAAGUGUUGUAAUGUUCAACCAUGUGAUACAGAGUAUGUGUGUUUGUUGUGUUGUGCACGUGGAAGUCACUGUAUAUGAGGUUAUUUAGAGGUGGGUAUUGGUGUAGUAAGGUUGUAAUGUUCAACCAUGUGAUACAGAGUAUGUGUGUGUGUUGUGCACGUGGAAGUCGAUGUAUAUGAGGUUAUUUAGAGGUGGGUAUUAGUGUAGUAAGGUUGUAAUGUUCAACCAUGUGAUACAGAGUAUGUGUGUUUGUUGUGUUGUGCACGUGGAAGUCACUGUAUAUGAGGUUAUUUAGAGGUGGGUAUUAGUGUAGUAAGGUUGUAACUAGAGGUGGGUAUUAGUGUAGUAAGGUUGUAACUAGAGGUGGGUAUUAGUGUAGUAAGGUU